GCCAUGAUGACACCAUUUUGAUGAUCUGUUUGAACUGAUUGUCCUCUAAGAAGUUCUGAGCCU
ensembl:snoRNA small nucleolar RNA SNORD61